rnacentral:rRNA from 1 species
CAAUAGCGUAUAUUAAAGUUGUUGCAGUUAAAAAGCUCGUAGUUGGAUUUCUGGUAGGAGUGACCGUUCCGAACUUGAUUGUUCGUGUAUUGUGUUUUCUCCAGCCAUCCUUGUGGAGAACUUUUCUUGCAUUAAUUUGUAGGGAUUGGGACCCGCAUCGUUUACUGUGAAAAAAUUAGAGUGUUUAAAGCAGGCAAUCGCUUGAAUACACUAGCAUGGAAUAAUAAGAUAGGACUUUGGUACUAUUUUGUUGGUUUGCAUACCAAAUUAAUGAUCAACAGGAACAGUUUGAGGAUAUUCGUAUGAACAUGUCAGAGGUGAAAUUCUUGGAUUUUGAUCAGACGAACUACUGCGAAAGCAUUUAUCAAGGAUGUUUUCAUUAA